rnacentral:rRNA from 1 species
GACGAACGCUGGCGGCGUGCUUAACACAUGCAAGUCGAGCGGUAAGGCCCUUUCGGGGGUACACGAGCGGCGAACGGGUGAGUAACACGUGGGUGACCUGCCCUCAGCUCUGGGAUAAGCCUGGGAAACUGGGUCUAAUACUGGAUAUGACUCCACGGUGCAUGUCGUGGGGUGGAAAGCCUUGUGCGGCUGAGGAUGGGCCCCGCGGCCCUAUCAGCUUGGUUGGUGGGGGAUGGCCUACCAAGGCGACGACGGGUAGCCGGCCUGAGAGGGCGACCGGCCACACUGGGACUGAGACACGGCCCAGACUCCUACGGGAGGCAGCAGGUGGGGAAUCUUGCGC